rnacentral:rRNA from 1 species
UCGUAGGGGAGGCAGCAGUGAGGAAUAUUGGUCAAUGGAGGCAAGUCUGAACCAGCCAUGCCGGGCAGGAAGACUGCCCUAUGGUUUGUAAACUGCUUUUAUACGGGAAAAAACUUACCCACCUGUGGGUAACUGACGGUACUGUACCAAUAAGGACCGGCUAACUCCAUGCCAGCAGCCGCGGUAAUAGGUACAUGCCAGCAGCCGCGGUAAU